GACGAACGCUGGCGGCGUGCUUAACACAUGCAAGUCGAACGGAAAGGCCCUGCUUUUGUGGGGUGCUCGAGUGGCCAACGGGUGAGUAACACUUGUGUAACCUGCCCUUUCCUUUGGGAUAACUUCAUGAAACUGGGGCUCAUACCGGAUAGGAGCUCCUGCUGCAUGGUGGGGGUUGGAAAGUUUCGGCGGUUGGGGAUGGACUCGCGGCUUAUCAGCUUGUUGGAGGGGUAGUGGCUUACCAAGGCUUUGACGGGUAGCCGGCCUGCGAGGGUGACCGGACAAAUUGGGACGGGGAUGAGGCACGGACUCGUACGGGAGGCAGCGGUGGAGAAUAUUGCACAAUGGGCGGAAGCCUAAUGCAGCAACGCCGCGUGGGGGAUGACGGCCUUCGGGUUGUAAACCGCUUUCGCCUGUGACGAAGAGUGAGUGACGGUAAUGGGUGAAGAAGCACCGGCUAACUACGUG
rnacentral:rRNA from 1 species